rnacentral:rRNA from 1 species
UACAGAGGUCUCGAGCGUUGUUCGGAUUCAUUGGGCGUAAAGGGUGCGUAGGCGGCGUGGUAAGUCAGGUGUGAAAUCCCGGAGCUCAACUCCGGAACUGCACUUGAUACUGCCAUGCUAGAGUACUGGAGAGGGAACUGGAAUUUACGGUGUAGCAGUGAAAUGCGUAGAUAUCGUAAGGAAGACCAGUGGCGAAGGCGAGUUCCUGGACAGUUACUGACGCUGAGGCACGAAGGCCAGGGGAGCAAACGGG